CUAAACACCAUCGCGUAAACUCAUCCCCUCUCGACACCACCACAAUUCGCCACCCUCUGUUCUUAUAUUUUCGAACCGCACAAGACCUUUCUUGACACCCACACCACAACAACCUCGUGUCGCCACCGAAAUCCAUCGUCGGAGGUUCGGGACUCACCGGAGCACAAGCAGAAACAAGUAUCAUCGCCGGAGCCGUCCGAAGUUACGUCGAAGAUUGCUUCAAACUCUGUUUUCGGUUGAUUGUUCAAGAUUCAAGAAAACAAGUUAGGAUGGCAUUAGAAACCCAUUUUAGUUACUCGCUCCUGUUCGUUCUUUUGGAUUUUCAAUCUUACUCGUACGUUUUUACAAGAAAUCGCAACGCAAUCACUGUUGAUUGUUCAAGAUUCAAGAAAACAAGUUAG
rnacentral:lncRNA from 1 species